rnacentral:lncRNA from 1 species
CGUUUAAUAACACGUCCCUAUACAAUUUCUACUUAGAUUCAACUUCAUUGUUUGAAUCCAGAUGUUUGAAUCGGAUGUUUUUUUACCCCACGCAUGACCGAUCCAUAUUAAUGUACUGCAACUAAUAUAAAAAAACAAUCAUUAUGAUCAAGUGCAAAACUUUGUUAUUACUUUGGUUAUAAGGGAAGUGAAAAUACAUAUCUGAAACACGGAUGUCUAAUAGCUGAUAUAUUUUUACGUAUGACAAGGACAAAAAUAAACAACAAUACCCCAUCAACAGUAAAGGUGAGUACUGUAUCUUUAAACUAACAUUUUUAACUUAAUAUUAACUAUCUAGGUCAGUAAUAUAUUAUGUAUGGUAUACAUGAUAAAAAGUAUUGUUUGAUUCCCUGACUAUUUCAUACUAUAGAUUUAUAUACGGUCACUUGUUUCCUUAAUGAAUGUCAUUAUAAAAUAGUAUAUUACCCUACGCACAUCCGAUUGUAAUUAAUACAUUGUUGCUAUUAAUGAUGUUCAAGCUGAAUAUAUAGAGUAUGCAUGAUUUUAAGCGGCCUUACAAAUAUUAAUUUGUAAAUCUUACACGUGAAAACAGAGGCACAUCUUUAUAAUGUAAGGCUUAUUCUUAGAUCUUUUAAAAUUUCCCUGCUUAGAAUAGAAUUGAGAAAAGAGAAACGCAGAGCGUGUCAACAAGAAACAAGGCUAACCCAUCAAUAGGUCUGUAAUGUGGCUCACCCAGAGUCGGGCUCAGGUUGCCCCUUAAAAAUGAUGUAAACUGAUUCAACGAAAUUGACGUAUCUCUAAGCACACAGCAAUACGCAGAGUACAACUUGGUUUAAAAGAAGUCUAGGUCCGAUUUUCGAAUAGGUAACAGAAGAAAUUAAGCAAAAUGACAAUGAUUAACAUUUGUUAAUAAUGAACUACAAGCAGCUAGUGACAUACCAGCGCCAUACCUCAAUUAAAGUGAUCGAAAAUAUAUGUCUUCCUCAUAUGAAAAUCAAGCAAGUCCUCCCGUUAGGUGUUUAGUUUCAUAUCAUCAUAAAUUAAACGAGCAGAAAACAACAUGUUUAAUGCCAACAGCUGGUUUUAGAAUAAUUGUGUUUAGUUCUGAGUGAAUCAAUAUUUAUCCAAAAAUGCCGUCUUUUACGAAAGCCCUGGAGUGCCAUGGGUCUUUAAUGACUUGACAACAGUAUCGUAACUGUAUCACUUCUGAAUAAGUAUUUUUUUAAAGGUUUAGUUACGUUUGAGGUGAUUGGCGACACGUUUUAUGCUUUGUACCGAAUAAUACCAUAAAUUUUGGAUUAAUAUACAGAUAUUUCUGUAUGAAGAUGUCUUGUUUUAUCUGAAAGAAAUGUUAAUAAUCAACACCUUUUUUAAAGAAUUUUAAUCAAACGGAUUUGACCUGACACCAUUGACCUUUAAACAUUUUCAUGAAUCUUGUUAUCGUCACGACGUUUUUUGUUGUCUCUACAAUGAAUACUAGAAAUAUAAUAAUCCGUUUCACAAUUUACUACGAACCACCUCGUUUCCUCCUGAUACAUUUACUUAUUUAUUUCAAGUUAUGAAAAAUACACAAAAAUGCACUGAAAGACAAACAUCAUUUCAAUUUUUGUUUUUAAAAUACACUUAUAACAAAUAAAGGUUUCUGCAUGCGAAUUUGAUUUUCCAUUUGAAAAUAAAAGUGAACUUAGUCUGGAAAUUUGAUUUGAAAUAAUCAAGAAAUAACUUCUUUAUCCAUACAAAAAAAACCACACAAUAGUCUUUUCUCAUUUGUCUUUAAUAGGAAAAUUUAAGAAGCAAUUUUUCAUUGAUACAUUAUUUAAAAAGCGAAUUAUAUAUUAUUUUUUUCAAAUCAAAACGCCAAAUGAUUCACGCGUAUUUUCAUUUGUUCCAAGAAAAUUAUUAAUUUUGAUAAUUCAAAGCUAUGUUGCAUCCUAUUUGUCCUUGCCGGAUAAAAAAGAAUACAUAUACAUUUAUUAAUACGGAAAUAUCAUAAACAAAAACUUGGAACAGAGAGAUUUCUGUGUACUGUUAAUGUAUUUAUGGUAUAUGAUAUGUUAUUAUAUACAGUCACUAGUAUCAGAGUGUAGAACUACUUGAUAUCAGCAGGUUAAAUAACUUGAGCUUGCUAUUAUAAUUAAUAUUUUAUAAUCAUUGGUUUUUUUUUUUGUAUUUAUGUUUUUGUUCCUUAGUAUUCGUUAUUUUAACGUAAGGCGUUGUUCUGUUCGAUUUUGUUUACGUUCUUUUAUAAAACAUAAGUAAGUUCUCUGAUCGAGCUUUUAUGAUUUAGAGAAAAUGACAUUGAACGUUUAAUAUUUAGAUUUUUUUUAAAUAACUGAAAUACAUUGAUUAAAAGAAUUUCAGUCAGGUCAAUAAAAAUCCUUCAAUCCUAUAGAAACUGUCAUAGGGUAUUUACAUGCAUCAAACACCUUUUGUUUUCAAAAACAUUUGUUGUGUUACCAAUAAAAGUUCAACAAGUAUUCUGUAUUAUCCUUUUAUUAUUCUGUUAAACUUUACGUACAUCGAUUUCUUUCUUUUUUCCAAUUCAUAUCGUUAAUUCAAAGAUAAAUAUCGAAACCUGCAAUCACUAAUUCAAUUUCUAUACACAUUGUUUUAUGGUAAUUUUGAAUUGUGCAAUUCAUGUAUGAUUUAAAAAGGGAAUAUUGGUCAAUUGGAAAUGACAUUCAUUUGAACGAUUAACUACGUAGUGAUUAAUAAAUUCAAAUCGAUGGUCCGGUACAAAGCAAUUACUUUUUAUCUUUUAUCUGGGACGGAAAAGGUAUCCCUUAAAUGUUUUGCUUUAUUUUUGAAAUUUCUAAUUUUAUGACUGUAGAUUUGAUGGACUUUUCCAUGAAGAUGACAAUAAUCGUUUUGGUCUAUUUGGAGAUAUCCAUGCGAGCUUAAUUUUUCUACUACUUUGAAAUGCUGACGAGAAAAAAAUUCUAUUGUUAUAAAAAACAGAUUAAGCAUAUCAGGUAUUAUGCAAUAACUUUCUAUCAGAAUUACGACUGCUCUUGAUAUCUGAAAAUUUUUUUAGACAUAUUUUCUGCUUGGAAUCAUUCAAUGACAGUAUUCUGAUUUUUUUAUUCUCCCCUCAUAACUUUAUGACAUUCGGCUUACAAUAUAACUAUCUUAUAUACGAUAUUUAACGACUAACAAGGGAACCUUAUAUUUGCACAUGCAUAUGUUUCAUGUUCGAUGAGGUGUAGUUUAAUCACACUGAAUUAUGAAAGUUCAAACAGAAUUAUUACAUAAUCUUAUCAAUUGCACCAUUUUGUGCACACACAAAUAAACAAAUGUAACGCAUUAUACAUUUUUAUAUAGAUAUGAUUAUAAAUUAUGUAUAUGUUCAUAUACAACAAAAAUGAACCUUUUUAGUAGGUUUCAGCAUAAUUUGAUGUCAUGAUUGCAGGUUGUUAUAACUAAUAUGAAUACGAAAUCGUUGGUUAUUCAGCUCAGAUUCAUUUUUUUUAAAUUUUAGCUGACAAAAAGUGCAUAUAACAUAUACUCAAACGAGUUGUGGCUAUUGUUUAAAAGAUACUACGAAUUUAAGUGAUUUCCUGAUUUGUUGACAAAAAUUUUGUAAAAAACCUGGUUCUUGCAAGAGAAUUAUUUAACUCUUCUGCUUUUUAUUUUAAGACUGAUUGUACGAAUUUCAUUAACCGUCGGACUAUACAUAAUUCUUUAAAAAAUAAAAUAACAAAAUACUGAACUCCGAGGAAAAUUGAAAACGGAAAAUCCCUUAUCUUAUGGCCAAAUUAAAACUAAAACAAAUCAAACGAAUGGAUGACAUCCGUCAUAUUCCUGGCUUAUUUCAUGCAAUUUCUAAUGUAGAAAACGGUGGAUUGAACCUAGUUUAAUAGCUAUCAAAACCUCGCACGUCUAUGGCAGUCAAUAUAUUCCAUUAUAUUGACAAACAAACAGACAUAAUAGGUAAAAAUGUCAAAAACCAUUAAUCCACAUCAAUUGUUAUGAGUUUUGCAUUUUUAAUUUAUUGUGUAAUACUUGUAACAAAUGGACCGCAAAUAAGCGUAAAAAAUAAUAAAUGAUGGAGAAAUCGUACAUAGAAGUCCUAAUGGAAGCGUCUGAGGCUCAAAUGAAAUAGAAGUACUGUAAAAACAAUGAAAAAUUAAAAACAAUAUGCAGUUUUUCGCCAAUAAAAAAUUAAUUCCUAAAGGAGAUGUGUUAUACUUAUUGAUAUAAGCUCACCAAAAUUUAAGCAGUUUCUUGGAUGUGCACAGACUUUGCCAAUUCAAAAAAUAAUUUGAACAAGAAUGUUUACAAAUAUGAAACUUAUAUUUUUUUUUUUACCUUGUACCUCAGUCAAGGUAGGACAAAUUUGAGAAUAUGUAUGAUAACUUUUGAAUUUGCAGUCCUAUUUGGGCCACAUUAUUAUUGAUUAUACAUCAGAGACCUUCUGAUUUUUAUAAAAAUACGUAUCAGGUCGUCUUUUAAAAUCUUAAGUUUAUAAACGCUAUACUUAAACUAAAAUACAGAUUUUCACUCUUUUAUGUAAAUUAAAAUUAGACUGAUUUUACGCUAUAGUUCCGAUAGUAUUUGAUUUCCUUGUAAAAAUUAUUAAUACACAAGCGUAUGUUCCUGAUUUAAAGCGCCUUUUUAGUAUGCAUAUACUCUUCUCUACUUAGUCAACUAUUUUACAGAAAACAACCACAUGCAUUAUCCCAUUUCCUAUUAGUGGUAAAAAAUUCGGCUUUCUUUUCCUGUUGAAAUGCACUUGAACGAGUUUUAGCCAUACAUGUGUGUACCGCCUUCAUUGUCUAUUUAUUAUGUUGGAAUUGUAUUUUUUCCUUAGUUUCCGUGUGAUGUUUGUUUGCAUUCUAAUCUACGAAAUUUCUUAUUAUUAUUUUUUAAAAUAUCAUCGUAAAUAAAAUAAUUCUUAAAAUACUAUUGAUUCACUGACAUUUCAAAAAGGUAAUCUCAUGUCAACUGGUCUUUAUAUUGAUAUGAAUGUAUAUGGAAAUAUUUAUUAACAUUGAAGUGAGGAGAUAUGUAAAUAAAAGACUCGAAUUAUAUGUCAGGUAAAUUCUUUCAUAAAUAUACAGAAAGAAGUACUUGAUACAAAUACAACAUUCAACAUUUAUACCUUGAGAUAAAAUACUGCUACAAAAGGAUCAAUAUAAGAGGUUAAUAAAUGAAACUUAAUUAUGCAAAAGUCAAUUUUAUAUUGAGGAAUAUCAACACUCUGCCAAUUGUAAAAUGUAAAUACAAUUUUAUUUUUGUUAAAUCUUGAAUGUGUAUUUUUUCAUUAAAAUUUUCCGUUCUAAGGGAGAAAAAAGACCUACAUACGAUUUAACUUCCAGAACAAUAUUCAAGAAAUAUUCAUUCAAUUAAGACACACUAAUAAGAUAAAAUAUAUAAGUCGUUUUCUUCUGGUCGUAAAGUGUUCAUCAGUGCCAAAAAACUAUUGUUUAAACGCGAUCAAGGCUGCUGCUCUACCUUUAUUUUGCGUUGAAUAGCAUUGUCUUAAGAUUUCUGGUCAGCUUUAGUAAACAUUCGUGUUACGGACGUCAUAGCAAGUUGGUUGACUGUUAUGGAAUAGAUGUUUCAGAGAUGAUAACGAAUAUGGCCCAAAGAUCGUAACUACAAGCCCGUCCCCUUUUUUCCUAAUGUGAUACACCGAAUUAAUCUUAUUUCCGGGUUUGUACUGACAUGAGCGACACGAUGGAUGCCAGAUGUGAAGUAGGAUCUGCUUACUUUUCUAGAACACUUGAGAUCCCCUCAAGUUUUGGUGCGGUUCGUGUUGCUCAGUCUUUAGUUUUGGUCGUUGUGUUUUAUUGUGUAUUUGUUUUUUUCUUCUUUAGCCAAUGUGUUUUCGGUUUUUUUUUCGAUUUGUGGGUUAUGAUGUACCUCUAGUAUUUGUCGCCUCUCAUUUAAAAUGAAGGUAAUAUCGGCCGUGAAUCUAACGUUCGAGAUACAUCACAAUUUAAAGGUUUCAAUGAAUUUUUAAUAAGGAAAACUUUAAAAUAUAGCAAUGGAUGCAUGCAUAUCUUGAAAUGCAUAUACCGGAAAUGCUUUUAUCUUUAAAAAGAAACAAUUAUUAAAAAAAUUGAGAUUUAGAUGCAUAAGUUAAUGUUAGUGGAAAAAAUAUAUAUAAUGUAGUAAAUAUCUAAUAAACUUCAACAGUUCAUGUAAAGUAAUUACUGUCAGUUUUUAAUUGAAGUGUCUUUGAAUAUCAAUACUAGAUAUGUACAUUGUUCAUAUUUUAACUCUCUAUUGUGAAAUGAAAUAUCUUGUUUGCAUUGGCUAUUUAAAAUGAAACGGAUGUGUCGGAAUUAAAUAAGUCUUAAUUCGUAUAUUCAAUAUUCCAAAAAAGUUAAUUAACACAAUAAAAAUACCUGCAACAGAUAAAACGUUAAUAUUUGAAUUAUGAAAUAUCAAAAUACAUUACUAAUUUUAAGAUUAAAGAAAACCAAUAUAUAUAUUGAACAGAUAUAUCAUGUUUAGGAGGGAUAUUUUUCGUAAAUACCCCUCAAGAGCAUGCUAUAUCUAUUUAAUUACAGCGAAUGUUAACGUUCAAAAAAGCAUUGAUGUUCUUGACGUUACAAGCGUCCAGUUUGAUAGAGUAUUUUUUGGCAAAUAUCACGGUAGAGAGGGGAAAAAGGCAUAUCCCCCGGCGGCGUUAAAAAAUGAACGAUAUUCAUUUGGUUACAGUAAAUUGGUGAAAAAUACACUGGCUACCAACCAAUCAAAACCUAGGAUUCCUACAUAAGGUGUAAUUAAAUGUAAUAUAAUUUGCCAAUUAUGUCAAGACGUUCAACGAAAAGUGGCCAAUGACAUCGAAUUGAAAUGUUUGCAGACUUGUUGUAGUUGUAGUAUGAAUGACACAUAGAUACUAGUAUUCGAAUGAUAUAAGAUCAUUUGAGUCCUUGAUAAAACAUGGUAAGUUUUGUGUACUUGUAAUAAUUAUUACUUCAAAGAAACAAAAAGAGACAGUUAACAGUUAUACUUUCAAAAGAUAAGCAUUACUUCUUUUCUCUUUUUCAACAUUUCUAUUUGCACAAUUUUGAAAAUAAAAACAUUUAUACCACGACUAUCAAAUCACAACACUCUGCAUUUGUCGUAAAUAGAUUGGCUUGAUUAUGUGAAUAUGUACGCAGGGCGUCUUAAGAAUAUGUCAUCAUUUUAACGAAUGACACUAACUUCUUACUUAUAAAUAGAAUCAGAAACGUUUGCAGCAGUAAUAUUUAAUUUUAUAUCAAUGCUAAUUUUUAGAAAUUUAAGAAGAUAACAAAUUAUCGUGCAUUUGCUAUUGGUGUGGUAUUUAUCAUGUGACUUGGGUAAACGCAUUAAAAAAACUUCUCCUCGAGCGAAGCUAGCUGAAUGAACUAACUAAUUACGAUUGUUCUUAUCUGUUAAUCGACGCUUGUGUUUCGGACACCAUUCUAAUAUUGCUGCUUUAAUAUAGCCGAACAUACGAAACUGAGUGUUCUUGCCUCCUAAUAACUACUUCAAUCCGAUUUGUCACGUGAGUAUUCAUUUAACACUACCAAUAACGCUUAUGUUGUUCCAUUUAUUGACCUACUGAUAAGAAUGUUGUUAAGAAAAAUAUCAGCAUUACAGUAUGAAUUAUUUGUCACUUAGACUAUUUCAGAGUUUGUUUCCUCCGGGUGUGUAUUCUGAGUACCAUUUUAAUCUCAUGUUAUUAAUUCUUUUAGCGUUGCGAUGUAGCUAUUCGGCUAAAAUGACUUAUUAUUGAUCCCUCAUUUAUAUAAAUCAAUAAAAAGACCGAUACAAUUGAAGAUUAGAAGAUAGCAGUAAGCAUUUUCAGUUGGAUAAGAACAUGCAUAAUUUUUACUUUAGCUUUGUAUAUUAGUCCACAGCAAAACAUUUUUUCUUGGAUUCAGUUGUCCUGCUUUACAUUGUUGGUAUUUGAUAUACAUUAUGUACAUAUACAGGUUUAUACAUAUUAGCACUGUGACUGUGACAUAAACUACUGCCGUGAAAUCGUAAAUAUAGCUUUUUGUGCCUUAUUAGUUGUUUUACUUUGUCUUGAGAUAAAUCUAAAUGUAUUAAAUGUUAAAAUUUGUUAUUGUAAAAACAAUUCAAUAAAUAGGCUACAUAUGUUACAGAUUUUGGUGAAAUUUUGAAUACAAUUACUUUGGCUCUUUCAACUAAAACAGAAAAUCGAAAAAAAUCAUUUAUCUCUUUUAUUUUCUAAAAAAACGAAUAUUUCUAUAGAAAGGGCAUUUAAUCGGCAAACAACGUUCAUACUUUUCCUUAAAAUCACCAUAUCUUCAAUUUUAAAUCCAUAGAUUUUUUACGUUUAUAUAUUGUAAAAACAUUUGUUCGGUAAAUGACUUCGUUACUUCGAAAUUCAUCAACAAAGUGGACUAUCAGGUGAAAAUAUCACAAAACGUCGAAAAAGGGAAAUCCCUAAAAACUAACAAAUUCAAACGUUAUCAACCAAUAAGCGUAUCAUCAACGUGUGGUUGGCCGUAAAACGCCCAUUUUGAGGCAACCAACUUAGUACGGAUGGUAAGUCAAUACACAAAAAACAAAGUCAGUGACCAUUUGAUUAUUAUUUAUCAUUAAGACGGACGUUUAUUUGCUUGUCGAUGCAGUAAUGUACUUGCCAGUGUAGUCGAUAUUCCACGUACAGCUUUUGGUAUUUAUUUUUGCUAUGUACUUAUACAUCCCGUUAUUGUGCUAUUGUAAACUUUUGUAUUCUUGUCUCUCAAUUGAGCUAAUGUGAUUUGCCUAUAUGCCUGUUCGUGCAUCUUUGUUACAUAUUUGUUUGUUUUUAUGGUGAUUAAUAUUAUAACACAAUUCUAAUAGAAGUGAGAGGUUUAGCUAUCUAUAAAAGCAGGUUUAGUUCACCAUUUUAUACAUAAGAAAAUGCCUGUACCAAGUCAAGACUAUGACAGUUGUUAUCCAUUCGUGUUAUCUGUUUGAUGAUUUGGGGCUUUUGAUUUUGCCAUUUGAUUAGGAACUUUUCGUUUUGAAUUUUCCUCUGAGUUCGGUAGUUUUGUGAUUUUACUUUUUUUAUAAAUAUUAUAGAUUCGUCAGAGGAAACGAACACAACAAUACAUGUAUCUCUUAAUGUUACAAUUCAGGAAUAUGUAAAUAUGUUUUGGGACAUUUGUUUGGAUAUCUAUCGUAUAAAUAAGGUUUCACUAAGUGAGGAACUUAUGGGCCAAAUUCGAUGGGAAUGACUGUAACAGUUAGACUAUGUCUGUUUUUUUUUAUUUAAUGCUGGCAUUUCAGGCCAUCUAGUUUGGUAUUUCUGAAGCUUGGUUAAUCAGAAAAGAUCACCAAGGCAAUUUGAAAUAUUCAUAUAUGUUUAACUUUAAACUGUUCGGACUACUGACAAAAUACACCUGCACAUAUUUAUAAGGGGAAGACGGACUAAAUCGACAUCUAAACCUUUUCACGGGCUCACAUAUCUUUAUGGAUUAAGUACUCAAAUACCUGAUGUUCAUCAGCCUUGGAUAUUUACUUGAAAAUUGUCUUUAAAUUGAAAAAAAAAUCUCCCUUAAACGCUAAAAUGCAAGUUUCAUUUUGAUCUCAUUACUCUAUGGGGUAAACAUUUAUCUAUAUGUUAUAGUUACGUUGUACCUAAUUAUAAUCUUAAAAGUAUGGGUAUCCAAUAAAUCCUUCAUAGAAAAUGCAGUUAAGAAUGUGUCAAUGGUCUUCACAUAUUGUAACACUAUAUAUAUGUGACGUAAAUUAAUCGAAUAAUCAAAAUCGAAACCAUAAAAGAAACGAAGAUCAAAUAUUUGUUUUUAAUUUAUUGAAAGAAACUUUCAGCGACGUAUAAAAACAUUUUAUUUUUUAAAAAAAGUUGGGAACUCGUAAGUACAAAUAAUUUCUAAUUUUGUUAUUUUGUAUUUAAGCAAACAAUAGAUAAAAGAAAUAUUGAUCUGAAAUUCAAAUAACGAUAUGUUUUUGCAACUUAAUAUUUCAUAAUAUUUUUUGUUUAAUGGUUCAGUUGACUUCAAAUCAACCGUUAUACAUUGUACUUAAAAAUUUAUACUAUCAAAAACGACAAAAAAACUUAAAAACUUAAGCAGAUACUUAAGGGCAAAUAAAAAAAGUGUUGAUACCAGGGAAUAACAUAUAUAUGACAUUGAAUUUACACAUUUAAAUCUAAGAAUUAAUUCAGUACAAAUACGUGAAUAUCAGAACACCGUGUAAACUUUUUAUUUACUGCACUAAAUGACUUCAUUUAAGAAGUUAAAGCACUGAGGUGCUAUCUUAGUUUUACUGAUCAAUUAUCGAGCUCUUCAUAUAACUAAAUAUCUGUUUCAGACUUAUUGAAUAAAAAACUUAGUGGUAAAAUUCAAUUGAGAAUGAAGCAACUAAGUAAUAUAUAACAUCAUUAGGAGGACUGUAACUACUGGUAUUGAUCAAACUAAUAAAGUGUCGCAAUAUGCAAACGAAGCCAAUUGGUUAAUGGUAUUCAUUGUCAAGUAGUCUCAGUCAUCUAAAUAACAUGUCAAUUAUUUUUAAUUCCAGAUUGUAAUAAGACUGUAUGACAAAGCAAGACAUGAGGAAGAAUAUCAUCAUUCCUGUAAAGGACUUUAUAAUACGUUUGAUUAAUCUGUGAUAAAUAUAUAAUUCAUUAAACAGUGAUAACCAAAUAACUGACAUGUUGAACUUAUCGUUGAUGCUGGUAUUCCUUUUUGGAUUUAUGGGAACAGCAUUAAGCAAGAUUUGUCAUGAGCAAAA